AAGUUUGUUAGGCUUUUUGAAUGAUCUAUUGAUGGUAGAUCCAUAGUUGACUGUUCAGAACUAUUUGAUUCUACAAAUUCAAGUACAUCAAUUUUGUAUAAUAACAUAAAAUACAUUAUACUAAAUUAAAAG
rfam:Populus trichocarpa scaffold_5_contig_260, whole genome shotgun sequence.